UAUUAAAAUUUUUAUCAAUUCCUAUUGUUAAAAAAUGGUGUUGCUAACAGAAUAACUAAAUAGUUAUAUGUGACAUGUCACAUGCACAUCAUUUUGACAUACAAGGACCAAUUUUUAAUUGUAAAAAUGAAUAAAAUUUUUAACA
rfam:Gossypium raimondii Chr03_contig_1060, whole genome shotgun sequence.